GAUCCUGGCUCAGAUUGAACGCUGGCGGCAGGCCUAACACAUGCAAGUCGAACGGUAACAGGAAGAAGCUUGCUUCUUUGCUGACGAGUGGCGGACGGGUGAGUAAUGUCUGGGAAACUGCCUGAUGGAGGGGGAUAACUACUGGAAACGGUAGCUAAUACCGCAUAACGUCGCAAGACCAAAGAGGGGGGACCUCGGCCGUCCUUGUCCACUCGGAGUGUGCCCACGAUGGGAGUUAGCUAGUAGGU
rnacentral:rRNA from 1 species